GGAGGAGUGGCCGAGUGGUUGAAGGCGGCGGUCUUGAAAACCGUUUUCGUGAAAGCGAACGUGGGUUCGAAUCCUACCUCCUCCG
rnacentral:tRNA from 2 species